rnacentral:misc_RNA from 1 species
UAUGCCCUUCCAUGGAUGAUGGAUCCCAGUCAUUUCUCCUCCACCCAGAAACUCAUAAACACAAGCACAACCUACCAUUACCAUAGCUACCUAGUAUAGCUCAUUAAAAGGAGCCUUUAGAUACUAACGCCACUGAUGGCUUCUGCAACUACAAGACCAACUUUCUCCUUCCACCUUUCCCAAGUCCCUCCUCCAAAACCCACUGCCCAUUUCUGCAAACUAUCGUUCAUCUCUCUCCAUAAACCUCUAAAGACCCAUUUUAUUAUUCGCUCAGUUGAUGUCUCUAAAGAAGACAAACCACCUGCUACAAACCAACCAAGUAAUCCACCAAUACCAUCAGCAGCAGAAUUACCUUCUGCUGCAGAAU